rnacentral:snoRNA from 1 species
AACCCAUGGUGAGGGCACCUUCUCAAUAAGUCCUUAUACCUCUCCCAUGCAUCAUAUAGAGUCUCUAAAUCCAUUUGCACGAAGGAAGAGAUAUCAUUCCUUAGCUU